ensembl:lncRNA
GGCUUUUCUGAGCAGCACAGACGCUUCACACCAAACUGCUGCUGCACAGAGUGUGACAGACACAAACGUUCCCUGUCUAAGUGAACAAACAGAGAUGUCGCAGCGCAGCUUAAAGGAGCAAGAGUGGCAUCCAGGUGAAAGAGCAGGAGGUGAAAGAGCAGGAGGAGAAGAAGCAGGCGACUCCAGAAAUACUCCACCUGUAUUGCACACAGACCUACAGACAUCGCUUUGCAGACCAGAGGACAAAGUGACACUGAUGGAAGCUCCUGCUCAGUCCUCGAUGGAAGAUGAACAAGAGAGCAAAAUUUCCUCUGGCACAGUAAAACCUCCGAUGAAAACCGUGAGGUCUUCUGUGAUGAAUGGUGAGGCUGAUGCUGCAGAUGACAAGAAGAAAGAUGGCCAACAAUCAUCAAAGUACAAAACAGUGUCCUACAGAAAGAUCCCCAGAGGAAACACCAGGCAGAGGAUUGAUGAGUUUGAGUCCAUGUUUAACUCGUGAAUGAGCGUUAAACAUAAUAUAUAGUAACAUAUGCUGAUAUAUAAUAUAUGUAGAGGAUUUGCUUUGAUUAAUCAAGUAGUUUUUUCUGAUUCAGCUUUUGCAAAUUAUGACCCCUAUUAGUAAUGUUUUGAGAAAACCAGAAGACCCAGAGCAGAGCUUUGAGGUACUUUUUUUUCUAAAAUAUGUACAUGAUUUUAUAUGACUGUAUUUGUACCUGUUGCUUGUUUGGGAUGCUUGGGUGGCAGUUUUUCUUUUUUGUUUCAUCUUCAUAGGCAGUCCAUCCCCUCCCCAAUUCCCUAACCUGACUUCCCUAACCCUAUCCCAAAAACUCAGCUCAUUAAAACUCAGAUCUAUAGUUGGCAUCUGAGCAAAUAAAACCUUAAGGGAACUUCUGUCUAAUUGGUGCCAUUGCUCCACUUGACAGUUAAGGAUCCCAAAACUGAAAGACUGCUCUUGAUCCUUUGUUGGUCCCAGACUUAAAACAAAUGAAAUUUCACACUGAAUUGAGUUCACCCAGUUUUUUAGAAAUACAGUAUGUCGUGCAAACUCCUGAAGUUUAAUUCAUUUAAUAUUUUAACAUUUUAGAGGAUUCUAGAUUCUUCUUCGG